GGGCGUAUAGCUCAGUUGGUAGAGCCACCGGCUCAUAACCGGUCGGUCGUAGGUUCGACUCCUACUGCGCCCACCA
rnacentral:tRNA from 1 species